CCCGGGCCUUGUACACACCGCCCGUCACACCAUGGGAGUCGACUGCUCCAGAAGUGGCUGUCCUAACCCGCAAGGGGGAGGUCCCAAGGAGUGGUCGGUAACUGGGGUG
rnacentral:rRNA from 1 species